GAACCUAACACAUGCAAGUCGAGCGAGAAAAGGGUAGCAAUAUCCUGAGUACAGCGGCGCACGGGUGAGUAACGCGUGGGUAAUCUGCCCUGGAGUGGGGAAUAACACCGGGAAACCGGUGCUAAUACCGCAUACGAUCACGAUGUCUGCGGAUGUUGUGAUGAAAGGAGCAAUUCGCUCCAGGAGGAGCCCGCGGCUGAUUAGCUAGUUGGUGAGGUAAUGGCUCACCAAGGCUACGAUCAGUAUCCGGUCUGAGAGGACGGUCGGACACACUGGAACUGAGACACGGUCCAG
rnacentral:rRNA from 1 species